UGAUCACAAAUGAUUUAGCCCAAUGUGUUGGUAAUUACUAUAAGAAACAAAGCUACGAAACAUAUUGAGGGGUCCAUAUUAGUCGUAUAUUAAUUAAGGAUGCAAAUAGCUGAAUUUUAGGGAAAAAUGUACGUUUGCGUGAAUAGUUACAGGGCUUAAACUACAGCAAAUUGUCUGAAAUUUUGUACAGUGAUUAAAAACCCAACAAAUUUUCCAUCUAUGAACUCAAAAUAUGAUUAAAGCUUUUAGAUUUUGUGCAAGCCAUUUUUAUUUUGUUGGAAAAGACACCCCCUCCCCGGUUCACAAAAUUUGAGUUCGAGAAAUUUGUUUCAUUAUUCUACAUUAUAAGUAUACCCAAAGAAGCUAUAUAUAUAAAAAACUGGAUACUAAUAGCUGUUUUGUGAAAUUGAGAGCAAAUUCAGAUCUGUUCAGUUUUUUUUAUACACCCUGUAAUGCUCACUGGAAUAGGCCUACCCUGUUACAUCUCAUACUACAAAUCUCUUUAAUACGAAACCUCACGGAAACCUCACCUCCCUAAUAUUACAAUAACCUAUGUUCCAACAAAAUUUUCACACAAAUUUUCUUUAGAAAACCUCUAUAAUACGGCAUAAUCAAAUACGGUCACUCUGCUCUGUCCUUUUGGUGUCCGUAUCAGAGAUCGCAAUACGACUGUAUACCUUUCAUUUUUUGUCCAUGUUAUCAAGUUUUCUUGAACCCCCAGCUAGCUAGGUGUGAGGCUGACAACAUUCCCAUUAAUGUUGGUGAUAGUCCAGGAACAAUAAAUAAAUUAUUCGUAUUCAUGACGUCAUGUAAUCACAGUCGGUGCAUUCCUGCCAGUAAAUUCUUGAAUGUUGGAAAUUUUCAAUGCUAUAUCGACAAGCGGUUUCAACACGUUCUGU